rnacentral:rRNA from 1 species
GGCAGCCGCCGCGGGAACACCGGCAGCUCUAGUGGUAGCUGUUUUAUUGGGCCUAAAGCGUUCGUAGCCGGUUUGAUAAGUCACUGGUGAAAUCCUGUAGCUUAACUGUGGGAAUUGCUGGUGAUACUGUUGAACUUGAGGUCGGGAGAGGUUAGCGGUACUCCCAGGGUAGAGGUGAAAUUCUGUAAUCCUGGGAGGACCACCUGUGGCGAAGGCGGCUAACUGGAACGAACCUGACGGUGAGGGACGAAAGCGUAGGGCGCGAACCGGAUUAGAUACCCGGGUAGUCCUAGCCGUAAACGAUGCGGACUUGGUGUUGGAUGGCUUUGAGCCGCUCCGGUGCCGAAGGGAAGCUGUUAAGUCCGCCGCCGUGGGAAGUACGGUCGCAAGACUGAAGCUUAAAGGAAUUGGCGGGGGAGCACCACAACGCGUGGAGCCUGCGGUUUAAUUGGAUUCAACGCCGGACAUCUCACCAGGAGCGACAGCUGUAUGAUUACCAGGCUGAUGACCUUGUUUGACUAGCUGAGGAGUGGUGCAUGG